GAUAAGGAGAACCUCUGCCUCUACGGCCACCCCGACGGGACCUGGGAGGUGUCGCUGCCGGCGGAGGAGGUGCCGCCCGAGCUGCCCGAGCCGGCCCUCGGCAUCAAUUUCGCCCGCAACGGCAUGAACCGCCGCGACUGGCUCUCCCUCGUCGCCGUCCACUCCGACUCGUGGCUCCUCUCCGUCGCCUUCUUCUUCGGGGCGCCGCUCACCGCCAACGAACGGAAGCGCUUGUUCAGCAUGAUCAACGAUCUUCCAAACGUGUAUGAAAGUAUGGUUGACAGGAAGCACAGGGACAGGUCUGGUGUUGAUAGCAGUGGCAAAUCCAGGCACUCAUCAAAGCCAAAGCAACGAACUGAUGAUGUCCGCCCAAAGAACUCCAGAGCAGUUGCUCGAGAAGAAGACGACGACAAUGACGAAGAACACAGUGAAACCUUUUGCGGAAGCUGCAACGGCAUAUACAAUGCAAGCGAGUUCUGGAUCGGCUGCGACAUGUGCGAGCGGUGGUUCCACGGCAAAUGCGUGCGGAUAACCCCGGCCAAGGCGGAUCACAUAAAGCACUACAAGUGCCCUGAAUGCAGCAGCUCCAAGAAAAUCAGGCAGUAG
rnacentral:rRNA from 1 species